GACGAACCGUCCUAACGUUGUUCGGAAUCACUGGGCUUAAAGGGCGCGUAGGCGGGUUCCCAAGUCGGUGGUGAAAUCUUUCGGCCCAACCGGAAAACAGCCGCCGAUACUGGGAGUCUUGAGGGAGGUAGGGGUCGAUGGAACUUCCGGUGGAGCGGUGAAAUGCGUAGAUAUCGGAAGGAACGCCGGUGGCGAAAGCGAUCGACUGGACCUUUUCUGACGCUGAGGCGCGAAAGCCAGGGGAGCGAACGGG
rnacentral:rRNA from 1 species